CGGGGUGUACCUCAGCGGUAGAGGGGUUGUUUUGGGUGCAACCAGUCGGGGGUUCGAAUCCCCCCACCCCGACCA
rnacentral:tRNA from 1 species